UCCCUGGUGGCUCAGAUGGUAAAGCGUCUGCCUGCAAUGCAGGAGACCCGGGUUCGAUCCCUGGGUUGGGAA
rfam:Ovis aries breed Texel chromosome 4, whole genome shotgun sequence.